AUUGGUCUUCCUUGUUGGUGACAAUAAAGAUCUCAGCAGUACAGGAAAUUUUCUCCAGAAUUCCAUUAAGGAAACUGUCUUAAAAGAAAGGAAAGGGGGGAAGCUGCUAUGGGAUUUCAAGUAAUACUAAUGAAAUUUUCGCUAAUGGGGGUGCUAGUAGCUGCAGCAGCAACACAAGAAUUUCCCAUAGCCAAGCCUGGCUGCCAAGAUAGAUGUGGGAAUAUCAGCAUCCCAUAUCCAUUUGGUUUGACAGAUGACUGCUACUUCGAUACUAAUUUCCUCAUAACUUGUAAUGAAACUUUUGAUCCUCCACAAGCAUUUUUACUGGCAAGUAACAUCCGCGUUAGAGAGAUAACACUUGACGACGGAAAGCUACGCAUCCUUGCAUAUGUAGCUCGAGAUUGCUUUAACACUACCUCAGGCACAGCAGCUCAUGACAACGAACCCUGGUCAAUGCUCAGGCUAAAUAAAUUCAUCGUCUCAGAUACUGAUAAUAUAUUCGUUGCUAUAGGUUGUAACACUGAAGCAACCGUCCUUGGUUCCCUAGCAGUGAACCAUGAUUAUGUAUACAAGGUGGGAUGUAUGUCAAUGUGCAACAGCUUGGUAUACGUUCCAAAUAAUACUUGCUCUGGCAUUGGUUGUUGCCAGACUUCACUUGCCAAAGGAGUACGUUACUUCAAUGUAACAGUGAGUAGCUACCAGAGUGAUACUUCCAUCGCAGACAUCAGUCCCUGCAGCUAUGCCUUCAUUAUAGAGACAAAGUCCUUCAAAUUUGCUUCGACUAAUUUUUCUGAUCAGAGACAUUGACGAGUGCAAAAAUUCAACGCUUAACAACUGCGACAAGAUUUGUAUCAACACACCAGGGAGUUUUCAUUGUUCUUGCCCCGAGGGAUAUCAUGGUGAUGGAAUAAAAAAUGGAACAGGUUCAGGUUGCAUCCGUGGUCGCUCGCUGGUGAUUAGGGUCACUGUUGGAAUUGGUGCUGGCCUGGCAGCUUUGCUUGUAGUACUUGGAUAUACUGGGGUUUCACGAAAUGGAAGCUCAUGAAACUGAAGGAGAAGUUCUUUAGACAAAAUGGGGGUUUGAUGUUGCAACAGCAGCUCUCAAAAAGGGAAGGAUCCACUGCUGAGACGGCCAAAAUCUUUACGGCUGGAGAGCUCGAGAAAGCUAACAAUAAUUAUGAUGAGAGCACAAUUCUUGGAACUGGAGGAUAUGGUACAGUUUACAAAGGAACUUUAGUAGAUGGAAGAAUUGUUGCAAUCAAGAAGUCCAAAAUGGUGGAUCUAGAGCCAAAUCCAGCAAUUUAUCAAUGAAGUUGUUGUACUUUCGCAAAUCAACCACAGGAAUGUAGUAAAGCUUUUGGGAUGUUGUUUAGAGACAGAAGUUCCAUUGCUAGUUUACGAAUUUGUUACAAAUGGAACCCUCUUUGAGCACAUUCACAACAAAAGCAAGGCUUUAGCCUUAACUUGGGAAAUCCGUUUAAGAAUUGCUGCAGAAACUGCAGGAGUGCUAUCCUACUUGCAUUCUGCAGCUUCUGUUCCAAUCAUUCAUAGGGAUAUCAAGACAACGAACAUACUCUUAGAUGAUAAUUACAUAGCAAAAGUGUCUGAUUUUGGUACUUCAAGGUUAGUUCCACUUGAUCAAGAUGAAUUAUCAACAAUGGUCCAAGGAACUCUAGGAUACCUAGAUCCAGAGUACUUGCACACAAGCCAAUUGACCGAUAAAAGUGAUGUUUAUAGCUUCGGA
rnacentral:misc_RNA from 1 species